CCUUGCUCUUCCUCCUUAUCUCUAUCUGUUUUCUCUCCAUUUACCUCAUCUCUCCCUCGCCGGGCACGUGCUCGAUCACGCUCCCAACUACGAGUUGAGGAAAAGAGAAAGAGGGUUAAUACUGGACUUGUCUGUGGUGUGUAUCGGUAAAGGGGGAAAGCAGGCAGUGGACCAAACCACUGUGAGUGUUUACUCCGAGAUGGUGAGCAGAUGUCUCGAUGUGUCUAUGUGGAGUUCCAUAUUGCAGUUCUCCAGCUCCAUGAGGCUGCGUCUGAUCUCCAUCUGCUCCCUGAAGGCAGACAAGAGCUGCUCCUGCAGUAAAGCC